GGUGGCUCGAUACCUCCCGCGCUCCACUUCAAGCUCCUCUAUACAUCCGUCUCUCUCUCUCCGAAGCCGACUGAUGGAAUGCUUUUUGCUCUUGAUCCGAAAUUUGAGAGAUGUGAUGUUCUAUUGCGCCAACUCUAGUUUGGCUUUGGAGGACUGUAGUUCGACCGUUAUAUGGGAGAUCUUUUCCUGGAGCAUCUUCUCUCGUUUAGUUGUCAUCUGAAGUUGUUCAAUGACAGUAAUUUUUUCGGCAUUGGCGACCGCGACUUUAUCCAUCCACGUCCGACGAAGUUCGAUGAUUUUUUGAUAUCC
rnacentral:lncRNA from 1 species